AUGGAAGGAAAGGAAGCUGGAUUCUUCGAAGUGAAAGUUGAUGCUGUUCAGAAGAUCAAAUAUAAAUGCUUAUGGAUUUUGGCUUUUUGGUGUAAUGUACAGGAUGUAAAAGAUGAAAAUAGCUUGCUUCUGUACAGCCUUCUCAUCGUUGCGGUUGAAUUGUCAUAUACUUGCACAGAAGUUACUAAAGAUAUAAUGCAAGCCAUGAACCAGUACGAUCCGACGUCGUCUCACGACGAUUUCCUCGACCAGAUUCUCUCUUCUGUUCCUUCUUCUUCACCUUGUUGGCCUGACCUUUCCAAAUCCUGGGACCCACACCACCACCACCUCUCUCCGCCGCUGCCGCCUAACCCUAGCUCCGGCGAUGACCACCAGCCUCCACCUUCUAAUAAUCCUCUUCAGCNCCUAGAGAUCUCAUGAUGCCCCUGUGUCCUCCAGCGGACAGGGAAAUUCUGCCAGUUCCAAAGUUAACCAGUUUUCGCGGCUAGCCCCUCCAGAGUUCUCCGACACAGACCUAGAGGCCGACCCGCAGGAAUUCAUUGAUGAAAUGUAUCAGACCCUGCGAGUGAUGAAAGCUUCAGAGACAGAGGGAGUUGAGUUGGCAUCAUACAGGUCCUUAGCAUGCUCGGUAAUGGUGACCAAAACGACGGCGUCGGAAAUCCGGCUAAUGACAGUUCCGUUCAAGCUCUUUUCAACGGAUUCACUGGAUCUCUUGGUCAAAACUCAAGUCAACCUCAACAUUUUCUCCAUCCUCAGGGAGGAACGAUGCAGGCGCAGAGUUUCGGAGCUCCGGCAACGGCGCCGGCGAUGAAUCAAACUCCGGCAGCAAGUGGUUCAGCUGGUGGAGGUACAACGCCGGCGGCACAGCCAAAGCAACAGCGAGUGAGAGCUCGUAGAGGACAAGCAACUGAUCCUCACAGUAUUGCUGAACGAUUACGUAGAGAGAGAAUUGCAGAGAGAAUGAAGGCUUUGCAGGAGCUGGUACCCAAUGCCAAUAAGACGGACAAGGCUUCAAUGCUGGAUGAGAUCAUCGACUAUGUCAAAUUCCUCCAGCUCCAAGUCAAAGUUCUGAGUAUGAGCAGAUUGGGUGGUGCUGCAGCUGUUGCUCCCCUAGUUGCUGAUAUGUCAUCUGAGGGAAGAGGAGAAGGAAAUGGAGGGAGAGGAGGUAACGGAACGGCGUCGUCUUCAAACAAUGACAGUAUGACGGUAACGGAGCAUCAGGUGGCUAAACUAAUGGAAGAGGAUAUGGGUUCAGCAAUGCAAUAUCUACAAGGGAAAGGCUUAUGCCUAAUGCCAAUUUCCUUAGCUACAGCUAUUUCAACUGCCACGUGUCACUCCAGAAACCCCAUGAUCCCUAACGGCAACGGUGGAAACAACCCACUACUCGGCGGAGGAGGAGGCCCCGCCACCAACGGCGGUGGUGGCGAGGCUGGUGGACCAUCCUCUCCUAACUUGUCGGUUUUGACUGUCCAGUCAGCCACGAUUGGUAACGGCGGAAUUGAUCCCUCCGUUAAAGACGCUACUUCUGUUUCUGAAGCUUAAGAAGUUUGUUUGGAAGUUUUUUAACGGCGUUAACUGUUUCACUGACCCCCUUUUCUACGGAGAAAAAAAGAAAAUGCGAAAAUAGUGCGUUGCCGUCAAAGUCAAGUCUACCAAAAUAAGGGUCUUUUAGUCUUUAUUUUUAUCUUUUUUUCAAUUUCAUAUGGAAAAAAAAAAAGAAGAAGAGACAACCAAGAAGACGCCGUAUUUAUGUAGACUUGGCUGAAGUAAGCUUAACUUAAGCUAACAGCAGGAAAUGCCAAUGGAAAUUAAGUACUCAUGUUUCUUUUGAUCUUUUCUCCUUAAUGAUCAUCCUUUGAUUUCCCUGUUCUACUUAAGUUUUUCCUUAAUGGAGUAUUGUUUUGGAAAGGAUAUAUAUAUAUAUAAAAUGAUGUUUCUAUAAUGGAUGAUUAUCAA